GUGCGUGUAGAUUAUAGGUGAUGUAGAUCGUAAGGCUGUUAACUUUAAGGAGGAGAUUUCCCGCGGACG
rnacentral:tRNA from 1 species